AGGUGUUGCAUUGGCUGUCGUCAGCUCGUGUCGUGAGAUGUUCGGUUAAGUCCGCUAACGAGCGCAACCCUCGCUGUGUGUUAUAUGUGUCACACAGGACUGCUGGUAUUAAGCCGGAGGAAGGUGGGGACGACGUCAAGUCAGCAUGACCUUUAUAUCCAGGGCUACACACACGCUACAAUGGUCAGUACAAUGGGUUGCCAAGCCGCGAGGCGGAGCCAAUCCUAAAAAGCUGGCCUCAGUUCAGAUUGCAGUCUGAAACUCGACUGCAUGAAGUCGGAGUUGCUAGUAACGCAGGUCAGCUAUACUGCGUUGAAUACGUUCCCGGGCUU
rnacentral:rRNA from 1 species